GGAUGGGUGGCCGAGUGGACUAAGGCGGCAGUCUUGAAAACUGCUGACGUCGAAAGGCGUCCGGGGGUUCGAAUCCCUCCCCAUCCG
rnacentral:tRNA from 1 species